rnacentral:rRNA from 1 species
UUUAGUAGUCAUAGUGCAGUAGAUCCACCUGAAUCCAUACCGAACUCAGAAGUGAAAUGCUGUUAUGCCAAUGGUAGUGUGGGGACAUCCCCAUGUGAGAGUAGGUCACUACUAAUU